GACGAACGCUGGCGGCGUGCUUAACACAUGCAAGUCGAGCGGUAAGGCCCUUUCGGGGGUACACGAGCGGCGAACGGGUGAGUAACACGUGGGUGACCUGCCCUUAGCUCUGGGAUAAGCCUGGGAAACUGGGUCUAAUACCGGAUAUGACUCCAUAACGCAUGUUGUGGGGUGAAAGCCUUGUGCGGCUAGGGAUGGGCCCG
rnacentral:rRNA from 1 species